AAAGAGGGACUCAGAUCACCUGGAAUUAUGGCAAUGUCUUGCAAGGAUACUUCUGAAAAUCGGGUGUCACGGGAAGCUGAACUUUGCAUCCCAGUUCUGAAACAUACAGCAACCUCAUGGAGACAGAUGCAUCACUCGGCAUUUUGGGGCGGUAGCGAGUUCAGUGACCUGCCAGAUUUCUUAGCAUUAACUUGAAAGAGAAGACACUUAUUUGAUUUGAUUUGAUUUCUACUAGUCAAGUGGGCACCUGGAUUAAGCAGACUCUCCCCCAGGCACCCCGGAGGCCUCUGACAUCCCUUAUGUCCAGCCCAGACAUGGCCUUUCUGUGGCCUCAGCGUAUCUGCCCAGUCCAAUCGGCUAUAGCCAGAAUAAAAAGGGAGGAAGAUCCAAGAGAGGGAAGGAGGCUUUCCCAGCUACUUUCCUGCUAACCAGGGCAGAGGCUGGUCUACAUCCCCCUAUCCAGGUGGCCCCUGCAGUCAUGGCUUUUCUGCUUCUAGAAGCCAUCCCUGAGAACAUCAUUGCAGAACUCAAAAUACAUUGCAUCAUACAAAAUGAAGUGGAGAAUUAAGGUAAUUAUCCAAUUAUUAAAAACCAUUUCUUAUUCGUUAGCUAAGUAAAGUCCAAAAUCCAAAAUAGCCCAACAGAAAGACCCCCUCCCAGUAUUCCACAGCAUCAGUAAUAAAGCUCCUUAUCAGAUCUAAUUUAGGGAGGCAGGAGGAGCGCUUGUACUAUAUAGGGUCUCUGGAAACACUUAAAGUUCAGAAAGACCCACGACCCCAAUCCAAGCUUCUAGACAGAAGAGAGAGGGUGCAAAGUUUAAUGAUAUCAACUUCUGCAUCCUG
rnacentral:lncRNA from 10 species